ensembl:miRNA mir199a-4 microRNA mir-199a-4
AUUCCGGCUCCGUCCACCCAGUGUUCAGACUACCUGUUCAUUGUCAUACUGGUGUACAGUAGUCUGCACAUUGGUUAGACUGGGCCGGGCU